GGUAUAGGUCCCAGAGACCUGGAUUUCAAUAAGCAUAUCAAAGAAUUUUUAAGCAAUUGAAAGCUACAGACGAAUGUGUUGGAAUCCAAUUUUUAGAAAAACCUAGAAAAGUGAAGCUAUGUCUUCAAGGUAUUACACCUCUGUGACCUAUUGGAACCCCCAAGUAGGUCUUUGAUUACCAGUCCACCGCUCUUUAUAUAAUACUGGACUGGAUAUAUAUUCAGAUUUUCUCGGUUUUCUUAUUAAUUUCUCCAAUGCUUCUUCUUUAUGCCAGAUCGUUAGAAAAGGUGAGCCACGAGAAAGAAAGCAUCAGGUACAGGACCUUUUGCCCAGAAGCUGUUAUGAAGAAGCUGUGUGUCUGAGCAGUCCUUUGUGAGCACAGGAUUUCACAAAGUAGGGGCCCAAGGCUUACUGUCACAGCUCACACUGGUAAUUUCAAACAAGCAAUGCCAAAGGUUAAUCACCAAAUAUCUAUGCAAAAAAGUGUUGUCUUGGAAUAUAAGAUAUAUAAAUUAAAUAAAAGAAGGAUUCCCUGAAUAUAUACAUUUUAAAGCCUUAAAUCCUAUCACUGAUGAGAGUAUGAGGUUGCUGUCUUUAAAGAUAAUUGUGAAUUUUAUCUAUUUCCAUCAUACCUUUGCAGACCUCCAAUAAAUAGGUAAGAAUAAAAAUAAUAAAACUAAGUCCCUCUAGGUCAAGGGUUGGGUAAUUGGUAAAGGCUCAAGGUUAUCACUGAAACCAUCAAGAUUGAUGGGAAAUAUAUUUUAAGAAAAAAAUACAUACAGUACAAAACUACUUUUCCCCAAAUCGUAGUUUCAUAUAAUGUGCAUGGUCCUCUUUCAAUAAUAGUAAAACCUAUUUGAAGGCAUGAAAAAUUGCCAAAAUAUAAUAAACCAUUGCUUCUCUCUGCCUCUCCCACCCUCUUCUCUUCCUCCUCUGUGUCUCUUCUGUUCUCUACCUGCUGUGUAUGGCCUGGUCUUGUGAUGGUGAGCCAUGAGUGUCUUUUGGGUUGAGGUGGUAGGUGUGACUAGAUUCAGGAUGGGCCAAGGGGGAGUUUCCUCUGUGGCACAGCAGGAUUGGCGGCAUCUUUGUAGCUCCAGUUCGCAGGUUCGAUCCCUUGCCUGGCACAGUGGGUUAAAGGAUCUGGCAUUGCUGUGGUGUAGGUUGAAACUGUGGCUCCAAUCUGAUCCCCCACCUGGGAACUUUAUAUGUCUCAGAGCAGCCUCCCCCACCCCCCAAGAACCUGAGGUCAGCCAUUGACAGAUCAUUUAGGAAAGCAACUAUGAUGAAGAAAAAUGAACAAAUAGCCCUCCGAAGAGGAUUUAUCUCUUACUUUACCAGCUCUGCCAUUCUUAGCCAUUUCCCUGUUAUGCAUUUGUCCUAGCCCUUCAAGAUACUUCUUAAAGUCAAUGGUCUGUCCUGUUCCUUUUGGUGGAAAAGGUAUUUCUGGCAGGAAGAUUCAUUGUCUGUAUAUAAACAAGAGCUGUGUUCUUCCUCUAGCCAACUGGGCACAGAGUAACUGGGUGUUCUGAUCUUUUUGUCUUCCAUGGCUGUCUUGUCCUGAAAAUGUCCAGAAGCCUAGACACCUCGUUGCUGUCAUUUCAUUUGUUUUCCAUAUAUAUUCCCAAUCCUUCUCAUAUGAGCCGACCAAUUUUUUCUUGCUUCCAUUUUUAUUUCAUUCUUCCAUGUCCCUCCACACAGCCUUACUUUUAGCUUCUUCCUACUCUUCCUUGUCUUGCCUAUCAAAGAACAAUUUAAAAUACAAAUCCACAUUAGGUCUCUGACUCAGUCUUCCCUCACAGUCAUGUAAGCAUCUAGAUCCUGCUGUCAUGUGUCUGUACAGAAAUAACAUUUCAUUUCCGUUUCCUUAUGAUUUUGCCUGGAGAAUCCCUAAUCAAAUCCGGUAAAAGUCCCUCAUUAUGGAAGCUUUGGUUUGGGGGACAGAAAGCAUAGCUCUGAGCUCAUGUAAUUCCAAUUCUUUGUGACAGGUACUGUGUAGAAUUCAUUAAAGGGCCAUCCUAUCCUGUCAUGUUAAUCAACAUUGCAAUUCUUUUUUCACUUAGGGUUAUGAUGUUAUUCUUUGGGUCAUAUUGGUUUUUGCUGGAGUUUCAGAGUCAAUGUUCACCAUUUUGAAAUUAAAUACUCUGUUGUCCUCUACCAUUUCAUCUUCCUUUUCUCCAAAGAAUUAUUGCCUAGGCUUUUCCCCAGCACCUUGGCUUGGGUUUUGUCUGUGAAAUCGUUCAUUCAAAAAAAGAACUAGAGCUGAAGGAUUUGUGAUGGAAUCAAAGCAAAGUGCAUUCUUAAUCUAUCAAUAUUCAUUUCAGUUUCCCUGUAAAUCUUCAGUGUCUCUUAAGAAAGUCUGUUUUUCAAAUCUGGAUAAUUCAAAGCAAAAUGUUUUUGAAUUAACUGCUUACGUCUAUCUAAAAUGACUUGUAAUAAAAUCAUUUAGUUCAAGACAGGCACCAAACAUAGGAUAUUAGGUGGAAGGUGGUAAAACAUCCAUAUUAAUUAUAAAGCUUAAAUUUCCAUUUAUCUGUGGAAUAUUCCAACCCCAGUUGAACUGACUGUGCCUAGCAACUAUGGAGGGCUAUGCAGUCUGGGUCUGGAUUGCCUCCUGUCUUUGUGUUAGUUUCCUUUUUCUGACAUUGUCACAUCGCCCUCGUAAGGCUACAUGCUUCCUGAGAGCUUUGUUCUCUCUUGUUACAACCCUCUAUAUCUGUCUUUAUUUUAAUCAAUGCCUAGUGACUGUCAUGGGUUAAGUUAUGGAUGUCUCCUUUCCAUUCCUCUGGCUGAGUUCUCUAGGAUAACAACUGGGCCUUGGUCCUCUGUCCUAGCACAGAACACUAGGCCUGACAUUUUGUGAGCACUCAGCAGAUUAUUCUUUCCUGGAAUUGUCUUGACGUUACAUAAUUAUUUAUUUUUAUCUCCCAGUAGAGCCCAGCACAUAGUAGGGACUUGACAAAUAAAUUUCUCAUAACUUUGUUCUGCUUCUUUGGGGUAUAUUUUUUUCAGGACAAUAAAUCCAGAGGCUGCAUUUAUUUGUUUCAUUUUACUACUUAAAUCUGGACUUUAAAGGAAAAUUAUAACCAACUAUUUAUGAUGAGAGCUGCUAGAAUCUCUUUCUUUAACCUUAUCAAGCAAAAAUGUCCAUGUCUUCAAGAACAUUCUAGAUCACCUGAAUGGUUUGUGUCUUUAUGUUUCAAUUAAUUCCUUUGUUUUUAAAAAUGUAAUAGAUUUUUUAAAAGAAUUCAGUGUUUUUUAAUCAGAAAUUUUAUUUUAUUUUGGCCACAUCCAUGGCUUGCAGAACAUACUGGACCAAGGACCUAACCUGAGCCACAACAGUGACAAUGCCAGAUCCUUAAGUAAUAGACUUAAUUUCUAUAGCAGUUGUAGAUUUG
rnacentral:lncRNA from 1 species